AAUUUUCCGCAAUGGACGCAAGUCUGACGGAGCGACGCCGCGUGGGGGAAGAAGGCCUUCGGGUUGUAAACCUCUGUCCUUAGGGACGAAGAGGGUGUUGAGGAAGCACCGAAGACGGUACCUAAGGAGGAAGCCCCGGCUAACUACGUGCCAGCAGCCGCGGUAAUACGUAGGGGGCGAGCGUUGUCCGGAAUUACUGGGCGUAAAGGGCGUGUAGGCGGCAUUUUAAGUUAGGCGUGAAAGACCCCGGCUUAACCGGGGGGUUGCGUCUAAAACUGGAAAGCUUGAGUGCAGAAGAGGAGAACGGAAUUCCCGGUGUAGCGGUGAUAUGCGUAGAUAUCGGGAGGAACACCAGUGGCGAAGGCGGUUCUCUGGUCUGCAACUGACGCUGAGGCGCGAAAGCUGGGGGAGCAAAC
rnacentral:rRNA from 1 species